GGACUGCUACUCAGCCGGCGAACGCGGCGCAGAGCUCCAGAGACUGGCAGCACGGGCGGCGAUAACAGCGGUGCUGCGGAGACUUGGGCCUGCUUGUUCCUGUUGAAGAUUGGACUUGCAGGCUCUGGGUCUUGGACAGCCUGGCCGAAGCCGUGCUCGCAGGUCUCGUUGGCGAGCGCGCUUGGGCCCCGUCUCCGAACCUGGACGCGUCCUGCUCCCGCUAGAGUUGAACGUUUAGGCUUGCGUGGCGAGGACGGGCCGUGUAUCCAGAAGCUGUGCGGCGAUCCGAACGUUUCGUCCGCCUGGGGUACAGCUCGCGGCCAGGAGAGUGACGGUGCACCGCGCGGUGUCCUGGGGCCACAUUUUCUUGUUUUCCCGCCUCGUCUGAGUAGCCGUGUGUCUCCGUCGGCAGACGGCGCAGGGUUCCCGCCUGCCGUCCCUGAAUCCCGUGCGUCCUCCCCCGGAGUGGGGCCUUGCCGGAGGCGCGGAACAAAGCGGCGCUGGACUGCGCGCCCAGGCGGCACCGCGAUCACCGGGCUCGGAUCUCCCUGUGCCACGUCCUCGCCGCCUGGAGGCCCAGGUGCUCACCAGAGCCGGGCGGCGGGGUAAGUUGCUCCGGGACGGACGCUGUCGUGUCACCAUACUCUGCGAUCGUUCGUGAGCGGGCUUGCGUCUUCGCGGGGACCGCAUGUAGUUUCUGCUGUUCUUGCGGGUUCGGGGGUUGUGUGAACCACACACGGGUCCCUCCCCGUGGGCGAGCAAGGAGGCCGCCCAACGCGCGGCUCUAGUCCUGCUCGGCCUCGGUGAUCAGAGGCACCAAACAAGUGUUUGAGACCCAAAGAGUGGUCAGGGCCGUCCGCUGAGGGAACCAGGGUACGGACCCUGGCUCGGUCUUUGGUUCUGGAAGAGCCUCUGAACACAAGUGGACGGGAGGACGCUUAGGGGAGAGAAAUGCAACCUGCGGCGAACUCGUAGGAAAUGAGUGCAGUGGUGGUGCUGUACCUUCGCCCUGUGAUCAAAAUUUGUCCAGGUAGCAUUCAUGCUGUUUGUAGCUGGCUGGUCACCGCCAACAGGUCGACCAGGUGGCCAGACAACUUUGGCGCUUUCAACUCUGCUAUAUUGUAGGUUGCCGUGGUUAUGUUAUACUGUAGGUUGUAGUAGAUGAGGAAUACUAAAAUCUCCAAUAAUGAAAAUUACUAUUAUGGUUAUUACCAUUGUGUGUAAUUAGUGAUAAAGUUUACCCACAAAAU
rnacentral:lncRNA from 1 species